rnacentral:rRNA from 1 species
AAAUUGAAGAGUUUGAUCAUGGCUCAGAUUGAACGCUGGCGGCAGGCCUAACACAUGCAAGUCGAGCGGUAGCACAGAGAGCUUGCUCUCGGGUGACGAGCGGCGGACGGGUGAGUAAUGUCUGGGAAACUGCCUGAUGGAGGGGGAUAACUACUGGAAACGGUAGCUAAUACCGCAUAACGUCGCAAGACCAAAGUGGGGGACCUUCGGGCCUCAUGCCAUCAGAUGUGCCCAGAUGGGAUUAGCUAGUAGGUGGGGUAACGGCUCACCUAGGCGACGAUCCCUAGCUGGUCUGAGAGGAUGACCAGCCACACUGGAACUGAGACACGGUCCAGACUCCUACGGGAGGCAGCAGUGGGGAAUAUUGCACAAUGGGCGCAAGCCUGAUGCAGCCAUGCCGCGUGUGUGAAGAAGGCCUUCGGGUUGUAAAGCACUUUCAGCGGGGAGGAAGGCGGUGAGGUUAAUAACCUCAUCGAUUGACGUUACCCGCAGAAGAAGCACCGGCUAACUCCGUGCCAGCAGCCGCGGUAAUACGGAGGGUGCAAGCGUUAAUCGGAAUUACUGGGCGUAAAGCGCACGCAGGCCGGUCUGUCAAGUCGGAUGUGAAAUCCCCGGGCUCAACCUGGGAACUGCAUUCGAAACUGGCAGGCUAGAGUCUUGUAGAGGGGGGUAGAAUUCCAGGUGUAGCGGUGAAAUGCGUAGAGAUCUGGAGGAAUACCGGUGGCGAAGGCGGCCCCCUGGACAAAGACUGACGCUCAGGUGCGAAAGCGUGGGGAGCAAACAGGAUUAGAUACCCUGGUAGUCCACGCCGUAAACGAUGUCGAUUUGGAGGUUGUGCCCUUGAGGCGUGGCUUCCGGAGCUAACGCGUUAAAUCGACCGCCUGGGGAGUACGGCCGCAAGGUUAAAACUCAAAUGAAUUGACGGGGGCCCGCACAAGCGGUGGAGCAUGUGGUUUAAUUCGAUGCAACGCGAAGAACCUUACCUGGUCUUGACAUCCACAGAACUUUCCAGAGAUGGAUUGGUGCCUUCGGGAACUGUGAGACAGGUGCUGCAUGGCUGUCGUCAGCUCGUGUUGUGAAAUGUUGGGUUAAGUCCCGCAACGAGCGCAACCCUUAUCCUUUGUUGCCAGCGGUCCGGCCGGGAACUCAAAGGAGACUGCCAGUGAUAAACUGGAGGAAGGUGGGGAUGACGUCAAGUCAUCAUGGCCCUUACGACCAGGGCUACACACGUGCUACAAUGGCAUAUACAAAGAGAAGCGACCUCGCGAGAGCAAGCGGACCUCAUAAAGUAUGUCGUAGUCCGGAUUGGAGUCUGCAACUCGACUCCAUGAAGUCGGAAUCGCUAGUAAUCGUAGAUCAGAAUGCUACGGUGAAUACGUUCCCGGGCCUUGUACACACCGCCCGUCACACCAUGGGAGUGGGUUGCAAAAGAAGUAGGUAGCUUAACCUUCGGGAGGGCGCUUACCACUUUGUGAUUCAUGACUGGGGUGAAGUCGUAACAAGGUAACCGUAGGGGAACCUGCGGUUGGAUCACCUCCUUACCUUAAAGAA